rnacentral:misc_RNA from 1 species
GAGGAGUUUGACAAAGGGUUAUGCAGUAGAUUUGGGUAUGAGGGGUUGGAAGAUGUAGUAGAGAAGUUUAUGAAACUUAGGCAAGAAGGAAUUGUGGAGGAAUAUCAAGAUGCGUUUGAGGAUUUAACGAUUAGAAUGAAAAGAAUUAUGCCAGAUCUUGGGGAAGCAUAUUUCCUUUCAGGGUUUGUGGGAGGAUUAAAGGAUGAAAUUAGGUUAAUGGUGAGGAUGAUGAAGCCUGCAUCCCUUUCUCAGGCUGUAGAAGUAGCUAGAUUGCAAGACAGGUUAUUGGACGCUACCAAGAACCAAGAACCUUUACCAAUUCUUUCAAACCCUAUAAGAACCAA